UUCAGUUAUGGUGACAUUACCCCAGAAACCAUUAUGGGAAAAAUAGUGGGUGGUAUUUGCUCCCUUAGCGGUGUGUUGGUGAUCGCGCUUCCAGUCCCUGUCAUAGUGUCAAAU
rfam:Lingula anatina scaffold119, whole genome shotgun sequence.